rnacentral:snRNA from 1 species
AUCGUUUCUCGGCCUUUUGGCUAAGAUCAAGUGUAGUAUCUGUUCUUAUCAGUUUAAUCAGCUAUGUGUAUAAGUUGUAAAGCAUAAAAACAUGCAUGGAAAAGAUAAAGGCCCAAU